rnacentral:rRNA from 1 species
ACCUGGUUGAUCCUGCCAGGGGCUACCGCUAUUGGAGUUCGAUUAAGCCAUGCGAGUCGCGAGUCUUAGGGACUCGGCGUACCGCUCAGUAACACGUGGGUAACCUGCCCUAUGCUGGGGGACAACCUCGGGAAACUGAGAAUAAUACCUCAUAGUUCACCACGCCUGGAACGGUGGGUGGAUGAAAGCUCCGGCGGCAUAGGAUGGGCCUGCGGCGUAUCAGGUUGUAGGGGGUGUAAUGUACCCUCUAGCCAUCUACGCGUACGGGUGUUGGGAGACAUCGCCCGGAGAUGGAUUCUGAGACACGAAUCCAGACCCUACGGGGUGCAGCAGGCGCGAAAACUUGGCAAUGCGAGCAAUCGUGACCAGGGAACUCCAAGUGCAUCGGGUAAGACCGAUGCUUUUCUUGACUCUUCAAAGGUCUUGGAAUAAGGGGUGGGUAAGGACGGUGCCA